UUAUCGUCACGUGAGGAGGUGGUGGUGGUGGUGGUUGACGAGGAUUUUGGAGGUGGGGGGAGUGAUGAGGGAAUGGUGAUUGUAUAUUUCUUAAGGUGGUGGUGAUUGAGGAAGAGGAGAAGGCUGUGAAAGUCGCGGAGGAGGAUAUGAAGAAAUAGAAAAGUAGGGAAAUGCCAUCAGUGUGAAGUCGCUCAAUGAGUGGUUCGAAGCAACGGUGCCAGACUGUCGUACUCAGCCUCCUAUGUUUGCCGAUUUCCGACCCAAAAAACUGUCUCCUCGACCCCAAUAACGCCUUCAAAUAUAGUUAUCGUUAAAAUGGUUAAUUAUUGCUGUUUUUUGGCAAUAGCUAUGGCUCAGAAACCGGGAAAUAAGAGGGUCUGAGUACAACAAUCUGGCAGCGGUGGUUCGAAGCAUGAGUCGAGUGGUGACGAGCUGCGGGGAAGUUCAGUAGGUGCGUGGCGCCCGGCGAGAGUGGAGGUGACCGGCAGGGCUGCGUUAGUGUUGUCGAGGGUCAAGGAUUGUGAUCAGUGAGGACCCAGCAGAGCAUCCAGGAGCCGACAAGCAGUUAUUAAGGAUCAGCAAAGGAUGCCAUUCAAGAGCAGCAAUGACAGAAAACAAAAGCACCUGCUCAGCGCUGUUCCAGCAAUAAGAAGAUAGUGUCCAAGAGAGGGUCGACUUAAGAAGGAAUAUCAGCAUUAAGAGUACACUUGCAAAGCCAACCAGCCUGGUAUCAUGUGACAAGGGCUACAGUGAAGGGCAGAACUAAGCAACACACAAAGGGCUGCAGCAUCUCAAGCAGUAUGCAAAGCCCAGUUUGCUAGUGGAGGUUUGGCUGGAUUGUUCGGUCUUCCUUGUUGGAGUUCUUGACAAACUCCUUCAGCAUCGUCAUCACCUCGUUGUCAAACUCUUGUGGGGUCGGCUGCACACCUGUGGGAUAUUGUUAGCUGGUGGUUGAGUGCCCUGCUCCCAUGCAGCAAAGGCCACAGCAAAGCAAUCUAGUGGUUCCCUCAACAAGGAUGUUACAUUAUGGUUCAUUGAAAGUGGGCCAAGCAGAAGGAUCAGCUUGGACACGAGAAUACAUAAUUAUGAAGACUCCUACUAGUGUGACGGAUGGUCUCCCCAGCUUUGCCUAUGGGUGAGAGUUCCCUUACAAGCAACGUGCUUCACCAUGGGGUGGAAUGGACCUCCAAUACCCUUUUUUUAUAAGUCAGCAUGGGUUGACCCUAUCACAUCUUCCUGGAGCAGAACCAGCAGACAACAAAGGGUAUCCUGACAGUACUCAGCCCAGUUGCCUCUCGAUCUGGUUCAGGUGCAUCCUUGGUUGCAGUGGUUGCACAUUUAAUAAUGGGCCAUAGAGACAAUUCUCCACCCGACAGAUCCACAUGAGCCUGUGGGGACCCCUCCCUGCUGUGCUGGACCUCGGGUGCUGGGUAAGAUUUGCCAAUAUGCUGCUACGUGUGCCAAGUGUUCAGGCAACAGCAGUGUCAUCAGGCCACGAAACUGUGCGGGAUUUGCAGGGUGGAGCACACAAUGUGGGACUAUCUGCCGCCUUUCAGGAGAUGGAGAGUCCUGUGCUACAGUGUGCCAACUACAGAACCGGGCAUGACACCUGAAACUGUUGUGGCUGGGAGGGCUUGAGCUGGCCCUCCCUUUAUAGAAGGCUGCUUUGUGAGGGGAAGCCGCUUCCUUACACUCUGCUGGUCACUGGCCCCCUGAAGAUUUAGCUUCACCACCACUACAACCACAUGGAAGAGGACUCCAUGGAUGACUAAUGUUUGCUGCUCAAUCAGGACAGGGAUCAUAGACGAGGAGACGGCAAAAAUCCUCCUCUCUUGGUAAAGUCUGAUUGUCACUGUUCACUAACAGACCUGUAAAAGCACCAAUAUAAUAGUUUUAUCCUGGAUAAGUCACAUUUGAUGGUAGAUUAUUCUUGUAAUUUAUAUAUACAUUUUUUUUGCUGUACUAUGACCAAUAAAUGUCUGAAGAGAUGAAGCAGCUGGCUGCCAAUCCACAUGAGAAAUAGAUGGAUAAGCACCUUUCCUGGUGCACUGAGCAGUGUAAUACAAUGGUAUUCACUGCAGUCUUUAGGUGAGCCAAAUGGGACACUAUAUCAGCUGAGCAAAACAAAAUGACAUGAAACACAACAGCUCCCUCACACUACUCCCUCAGCAGCUCUUGUAGGCAACCAUUAGCUGGAAACCGCAAUUGUAGUUGAACAAAACUACAAAGAAGGUAAGAAGAUUCAAAAUAGGUGACACUGGCCACACUCAUUACUAUGUCAAGCCUCCACGACAGGACAAGGAAUACGUCUAGUAUUGUAGUGAGGUAGGAGGCUGCUUGCUAACUCUUGCUGCAGCUGCUGGAUAGCUCCAACAAGAAGAAGGCAGAAUGUGUUAGUCCUUCCUGUCAGUACACAGCCUCUGACUGGUCAAGACUUUCAGAGUGCCUUCUUGUGGCACCCUUGGUAACUGGGAC